rnacentral:ribozyme from 1 species
GAGGAAAGAAAAGGAAAAGACGGGGGACGGGAUUGGAGACACCCGAGAGUUCUCGCGUUCCUUCUUCCUUACUUGUCCUGACUUAUUUCUUUCUUUCCUUUCUUUCUUUUUCUUUCUCG